rnacentral:rRNA from 1 species
UUUAUCUCUGACGGUGCUAUAACUACUCCUGCUGCGUGUUUUCCAACAUUUCUAAUGAUGCCUUCCAAUUUCCUUGCCAUAUCAAAUAUUUCUUCUGCCUGUUCAUCUGUAUAAUUUUUAUCAUAAAUAUAGCCAGCCCCAUAUCUGUGCUGUAAAGGAAUUUUCCAAAUCCAGCCAUUCUUCAUACAAAUAGCUUGGGUAUAAGGUAUUGUUUUUGUGCGUGUGUGAAGAAGGCCUGAGGGUUGUAAAGCACUUUCAAUUGUGAAGAAAAGUUAACGGUUAAUACCCGUUAAUCUGUGACGUUAACUCGCAGAAGAAGCACCGGCUAACUCCGUGCCAGCAGCCGCGGUAAUACGGAGGGUGCGAGCGUUAAUCGGAAUUACUGGGCGUAAAGCGCGCGUAGGUGGUUAAUUAAGUCAGAUGUGAAAGCCCAGGGCUCAACCUUGGAACUGCAUUUGAAACUGGUUAACUAGAGUUUUGUAGAGGGUGGUAGAAUUUCAGGUGUAGCGGUGAAAUGCGUAGAGAUCUGAAGGAAUACCAGUGGCGAAGGCGGCCACCUGGACAAAGACUGACACUGAGGCGCGAAGGCGUGGGGAGCAAACGGGAUUAGAUACCCCGGUAGUCCACGCAGUAAACGAUGUCUAUUAGAAGUUUGUGGCUAUAUGCCGUGGGUUUCAAAGCUAACGCAUUAAAUAGACCGCCUGGGGAGUACGGCCGCAAGGUUAAAACUCAAAUGAAUUGACGGGGGCCCGCACAAGCGGUGGAGCAUGUGGUUUAAUUCGAUGCAACGCGAAGAACCUUACCAUCCCUUGACAUCCAGAGAAUCUGCUAGAGAUAGAUGAGUGCCUUCGGGAACACUGAGACAGGUGCUGCAUGGCUGUCGUCAGCUCGUGUUGUGAAAUGUUGGGUUAAGUCCCGCAACGAGCGCAACCCUUAUCCUUAGUUGCCAGCACGUAAUGGUGGGAACUCUAGGGAGACUGCCGGUGAUAAACCGGAGGAAGGUGGGGACGACGUCAAGUCAUCAUGGCCCUUACGGGAUGGGCUACACACGUGCUACAAUGGCAA